rnacentral:ncRNA from 1 species
UGCCGUUGUUUUUGAUUAAAAUUACACAUGUAAGUAUCCGCACACCAGUGAAAAUGCCCUUAAACAAAAAAGGAGCGGGUAUCAGGCACGACUUUCAGCCCAAAACACCUUGCUACGCCACACCCCCACGGGACUUCAACAGUGACAGACAUUAAGCCAUGGGCGAAACAGACCAAUAAAGCCUGACUUAGUUAUAAUCAAUUAGGGCCGGCAAAUCUCGUGCCAGCCGCCGCGGUUAUACGAGAGGCCCAAAACAACGACAAACGGCGUAAAUUGUGGCUAGAAUAGCAGCUAACAAGUAAGAAAUAAACCACUACCUUACCGUAAAACACAGGUAAAAUGAAAUCUCUUAUCCCAAGCAAUUUGAACCCACGAAAACUAAGAAACAAACUAGGAUUAGAUACCCUACUAUGCUUAGUUGUAAAUAAGACGCCCCACCCCAACACAAGCGUCCGCCAGAGGACUACAAGCGAAAAGCUUAAAACUCAAAAGACUUGGCGGUGUCCCAAACCCGACUUAGAGGAGCCUGUCCUAUAAUCGAUAACCCACGAUAAACCCGACCACCCAUUGCCAACCAGCCUAUAUACCGCCGUCGCAAACCUACCUUACAAAAGAACAACAGUAGGUACAACAGUAAAACCACUAAAACGUCAGGUCAAGGUGUAGCUAAUGGGGUGGAAGAGAUGGGCUACAUUCUUUAACAUAAAGCAGACAGAAAAGGCCAUGAAAUAGGCCUCAAAAGGAGGAUUUAACAGUAAGUUUGGCAAGAAAGCCAACCUUAAACCCGCUCUGGGACGCGCACACACCGCCCGUCACCCU